AUACAGAGGGUGCGAGCGUUAAUCGGAAUUACUGGGCGUAAAGCGCGCGUAGGCGGUCUAUUAAGUCAGAUGUGAAAUCCCAGGGCUCAACCUUGGAACUGCAUCUGAUACUGGUAGACUAGAGUUUUGGAGAGGGAAGUAGAAUUUCAGGUGUAGCGGUGAAAUGCAUAGAGAUCUGAAGGAAUACCAGUGGCGAAGGCGACUUCCUGGCCAAAAACUGACGCUGAGGUGCGAAAGCGUGGGUAGCAAACGGGAUUAGAUACCCUAGUAGUCC
rnacentral:rRNA from 1 species